AUAUAGCGAAGGAAAUCCUUGACCAUAUCUCAGCCAGCUCUUUGCUUUCAAAUGCAAACAAGGAAAUUACUUUAUGAUGGGAUGCCUGGCCAGGCGAACACAGCUGUCGCUGUGGAAACUUCCACAUCGACCCUGCGAGAGCAUGUGGCGAGUUGUUGUAGAUGAGGACGGCGCUGGCGUUGAAUGCUGUGGCCUUCAGGAUCUUCUCUUUGAAGGUGCAGUUUCCUCUCUGCAACAGUGCUACCCACUGGACACCACGGGGGGGAACCAAAAAGCGAGUGUUGGGGUCACAGCCCUGCCGGUCCACCACUGACGAGACAAAGAGGUGUACACUCUCUCACCUCCAUUAUGUGGUGUUGGUGCAAUGACCACACCCCUUGUGUCCACCUUGGGUGAGUUCUGUCCAUAUGUCCCGUCAUCACUGCUCAUCACAUGGACAGUGUGUCCUCGUGCAUCCAGCACCGUG